rnacentral:rRNA from 1 species
CAAUAGCGUAUAUUAAAGUUGUUGCAGUUAGAACGCUCGUAGUCGGAUUUCGGGGCGGGUCGACCGGUCUGCCGAUGGGUACGCACUGGCCGACGCGUCCUUUUUGCCGGAGACCGUCCCUACUCUUAACUGAGCGGGGUCGGGAGACGGCACUUUUACUUUGAAAAAAUCAGAGUGUUUCAAGCAGGCAGCUCGCUCUUGCAUGGAUUAGCAUGGGAUAAUGAAAUAGGACUUUGGUGCUAUUUUGUUGGUUUCGAACACCGAAGUAAUGAUGAGAAGGGACAGUCAGGGGCACUCGUAUUCCGCCGAGAGAGGUGAAAUUCUCAGACCAGCGGAAGACGAACCACUGCGAAAGCAUUUGCCAGGGAUGUUUUCACUG